AGAUUGAACGCUGGCGGCAUGCCUUACACAUGCAAGUCGAACGGUAGAGUAGCAAUACUUGAGAGUGGCGAACGGGUGAGUAAUAUAUCGGAACGUGCCCAGUCGUGGGGGAUAACGUAGAGAAAUUUCGCUAAUACCGCAUACGAUCUAAGGAUGAAAGCGGGGACCGUAAGGCCUACGCGCGA
rnacentral:rRNA from 1 species